rnacentral:tRNA from 1 species
GGCCUGGUAGCUCAGUUGGUAGAGCACUUGAUUGAAGCUCAAGGUGUCGGCAGUUCGAUUCUGUCCCACCUUGAUUGAAGCUCAAGGUGUCGGCAGUUCGAUUCUGUCCCAGGCCACCA